ensembl:lncRNA
AAAAAUUAGGAAUUUUACACACCGUAUGCCACAUUAAUAAAUAUCCUGCCCUAAAGAUAAUCAUUGGAAAGAAUGCUGCUUUUACACAAAGACAAAAACCUGCUGAUAAACCUUUAUCCCAAAUGAUUCCAUGUAAAUGCCAGUGAGAUCAUUAAAACCAGUUUAACUAUGCAUAUCAUCAAAUGAUUUUAAUAUGUAGAGGCUUGGUACACUUUCAUUACAGAAAUCAAUCCAAGGUUGGGAAUGUUUUCUAAAUCUAGCAUUUUAGGAUAUUUUAAUGCAACACUGAUACUUUGUAUUGCAAAACUGUUUCAUACUUAACACUGAGUCUAACUGCUUCAUUUUGUUUGGAAAAUCAACAAAACGUUACAACCGGAAUUACUCACAAUCAAAAGUGUCAGUGUUUACACUGCUGCAGUUUCCCCAAAGAGGGUCCAUAGAUCAUCUUGGGAGCCAUUGAUGUCGGAUGAAUAGGAUGUUUAUCUAAACCAGGCACAGUUUCGACAGUAAUUGUAUUCGUCCAUUUCAAUGCCUUCAAAUUAAUGACCUUUUUUUCAGUAGCAACCCUACACUAUUCAAGCUGUUCAUCUGUUCAUCAGUUCUUUGUUAUUUGCGAAGUCAGUGACAUCAAUACCUUUUAACAGGCAGGGAUGCCACUGUGCAUGUAAUAUCUGAUCAAAAGCUUGGAUCUAACGAAUUAGCACAGAGGAGAUUUGCCCUGUGUGUUUAUCUAGAAAAGCACACAAAGGAGGUUCAAGCUUUUUGCAUAUUCCAUAGAGAGAAAUCUGACAGUUAAGUAAACCUCAUCACUGCUGUCCAAAGCUAACACUUGUGAAGAACUAGGGCAUAUUUACAGUGCACUUCAUGUAGACGCUCAGAAAAAUAAAGUUACGGAAGUUGUCACUUGGGCGUUGCCUUUUCAAAAGGUAUAAAUAUGUACACUUUAGGUACUGAUAAAUACUUUAAGGUACCAGUGUGCACCCUUAAGGAGUAAACAAGGUACAAAUGUACUGGUCCAGUGUUGGAAUUGUGUCAAAGCUCUUGGGGAGUCCCCCUUACCGCUCAAAAACUCAGAUGUUUCAGCGAUGACUAAUGUGGAUGCCUCUGAUUGGCCAUUGUGUUCAUAAACUCAUAAUUGUGUGUAAUUGGUUAUAAUGCACAACGCUGUAACCCCACCCCCCCCACCCCCAAAGUUAAUUUUUAUGGGCUUUAUGGGAGGGUUCCUUAAGGCUUAUGGGAGGUCCGGGAAACCCAGCCCGCCCUCAAUUCGAACACUGUACUGGCCCCAGUGACAGCUUUUGUAGCUUUUCUGAGAUAUUUUGAUGAUUGCAUCGCUAUCCAUUUGAGUAUCAGACUUCAUUUGGCCAUAUAAAUGUUUCUCCACAACACACACAUGUCCACAUGUAUUAUUCCUGCACUAUAUACAAAAAACUGGAUGCACAUAAUGUGGCUCAUGUUGAACUGAAAAUGGUGGGGGUGAUUCUUUGAAAAAUUGCUUGUACAAAACCCAUGAGCUUUGUGAUCAGCUUUAAAUUUGAACUGAAUCCUGAAUUACUGUAAAUGCUGCCUGUUCACACAGAACACACGUCUUUGCGUUUAAAAAGAUCUAAGUCUUGCAGCAUGUUUUUAAAAGCUGAAGUUCUUUUAACUUCACAAGAAUUUUUAAAAACGUGGCACAAUGGUCAAAUAUGUCCAUCUAACCAGUGCAUGUUUACAUUGAAACAACUACAAAACAGUGUUUUUAAAGCAAAAAAAAUACUCUCAACGCCGCAGUGGUGAAUGGGAAUUGAGAAUAUACUGGUAUGAUGCUUUGUUUUCCAGCAUGGACCUACAAAAGUUUACAGUGUACUGUUUUUCAUGAGCAAAUCUCAUGUCUCUAAACCAUUAAGGGAGCACUUUACUGCAAUGUCAUAGGCCUGCUUUAAAUAAGCAUCUGAUUUUUUUUCCCCCUUUCUUGAGAUGAUGAAAAUCUGUUUAGUUUUGUUCUUGCCUGGAAUGUACGAUAAGCCAUUAAAUACAGUCCUCAUCAAAGAAAAUGACCAGCGUCCACGAGGACUGAAUCACUUCAUAAGACUGUGCAGAGGAUGUGUGUAUACCUGUAUUACAGGAAGUGUUUGACACAGGACCUGUAACACAUACAUUGUGUACUGUUCACAUGUAACAUACUGUAGAGACUGUUUUUAAUUGGAAUACUUGUGCAUGUAUGGCCUGAAGUUUAGUGGACUGAUUGGGAUUGUUUUCUCUUGCUAUUUCUGUAAUGUUGGGAUGUUAUAUAUAUAUUACAGUAUAUUUUAAUAAUCAUUAUUUAUUUUCACCUGAGGCAUUGGCAGCCAACCAGCAUAUCAUGACCAUCAUUAUUAUUAAUUCAUUAAAAUACAACUUAUAAUAUACAUUUAAAUCAGACAAAAAAAAUUGUUCUUUAAAUAUUUCUUUUUUUUAAUGCAACAUAAAAUAGACUAAAUUUUUCCCAUUUUAUUGUUCUUAUUAUUUCUUUUGCAUGUUUGCUCCCAACAAAUUCUAUUGUACAUGAUCUUUGUCAUACGGUGGGUUGUGAAAUGCUUUGUAUUGAAAUGCC